UAUCGUCCAUAUCGGGCCAUACAUAUCUUAUCUCAUCUCCCUUGGAAAACCCUUCAAAAAGCAGUCAGCGAACGAUGCUCAAAAAUAAAUCCAAUUUAAUGACUGUGAAGCAGCCCCUGCGGAAUCUUAAGGAACCCCACUCAAUCGAUGGACACCCGUUGCACGAUGACUUGUGCUGACAGUGUACUCGGAGUGGACUUGGGUCACUGAAACUUAACAAAAUGCCACUAGCAAAUUAUAAAAUAUUUAGUUUAAGGAAAUAAAGUGUAUUAGUAAUUUUUUUUAAGUGGGAAAACGAUUUUUAAAGUCCACCCCGCCCUUGCCAUUUGGAAUUCAAAGUCCGCGUCUUUGUUUUCGUUGUGGCUGUCACUUUGGACGCGGAGCCACGUUAAUGGCAAGUGUAAAAUGCUUUAAGCCAAGACCAAGACCUCCAUCAGCAAAGGAAAACGGAAGGACACAGAGGAAAGUGGCAAAGCAGACCGACGUGAAGCGUCGUUGGGAGCAAAAAGAGUUUAAUUAACACGAAAAUGGUUUCAAUUACAUAAAAUUACGUUUCCUUGCAGUGA